rnacentral:lncRNA from 1 species
GCAAGUUGAAGGGGGAGUGAGGAGUAACCAGGGAAAAGAAGCAGAUGAGGACACCAUUGACAAGGAUGCCUUGCCCUGGGAAUCCUCCCCACAGGAGUAAGAAGGGAGCUACCCUUUACAUAGCAUGUCUGAAGAGUAGUUCCCAAAUACUUGUUCUUGGACAUGGCAGAGCUGGAUGCCCAAGAAUCUCCUGGGAAACAUUAAUUACAAAAACCAAGCAAAACAGAACCCCUGGCUCCACAUUGAUUUGGAGGGGGUAAGAUGGGAUGCACCAAGGGUGUGGGUGGUAACCACUGAUAUGGAAAGCAUUGGUUUGCAUUGGUAGUUAGAUCAUUUGGGCUU